rnacentral:lncRNA from 1 species
CAUUUGUUCAUGAAAACUGCACAUAAUAGUGAAAUAAACAAAUAUGCAUCAAUCGUUAUGCUAUAAUCUUGAACACAAACAAUUUGAAUAUCUUACAUACUUUUUCAUUCACAAGUCUCCCUAUUUGACAAUGCAGCGCUCGCUGUAACGGAUGACAUUGUGUUGAAAAGACAAAAGAUAAAAUUUAUAUGCCCAAUUUUGAUUUAUUUAGGUAGCGAAUAAUGAAAAGAAAUAUUGACCUUCUUCUAUGCAUGUCUUAAUUACGGGUACAAGCCGAUACUUUUUUUUAACAUAUAUAAACUUAUACUUUCUUACUUACAUAUACUGAAUGC